rnacentral:rRNA from 1 species
UACAGAGGGUGCGAGCGUUGUUCGGAAUUAUUGGGCGUAAAGCGCGUGUAGGCGGCCAGGCAAGUUGGGUGUGAAAGCCCUCGGCUUAACCGAGGAAGUGCGCCCAAAACUACUUGGCUUGAGUACCGGAGAGAUGGUGGAAUUCCCGGUGUAGAGGUGAAAUUCGUAGAUAUCGGGAGGAACACCAGUGGCGAAGGCGACCAUCUGGACGGAUACUGACGCUGAGACGCGAAAGCGUGGGGAGCAAACAGG